UACGAAGGGGGCUAGCGUUGCUCGGAAUGACUGGGCGUAAAGGGCGCGUAGGCGGAUGGCACAGUCAGAUGUGAAAUUCCCGGGCUUAACCUGGGGGCUGCAUUUGAUACGUGUUGUCUUGAGUUCGGAAGAGGGUCGUGGAAUUCCCAGUGUAGAGGUGAAAUUCGUAGAUAUUGGGAAGAACACCGGUGGCGAGGGCGGCGACCUGGUCCGACACUGACGCUGAGGCGCGAAAGCGUGGGGAGCAAACAGG
rnacentral:rRNA from 1 species